UACGAAGGGGGCUAGCGUUGCUCGGAAUCACUGGGCGUAAAGCGCACGUAGGCGGAUUGUUAAGUCAGGGGUGAAAUCCUGGAGCUCAACUCCAGAACUGCCUUUGAUACUGGCGACUCGCGAGUCCGGGAGAGGUGAGUGGAACUGCGAGUGUAGAGGUGAAAUUCGUAGAUAUUCGCAAGAACACCAGUGGCGAAGGCGGCUCACUGGCCCGGUACUGACGCUGAGGUGCGAAAGCGUGGGGAGCAAACAGG
rnacentral:rRNA from 1 species